AGGAGUGACAGACACUGUAGCCAGGUGGGUUCAGCUCUCACUUUGCUCAGGAUAUGGGUGUCCAGUGGGGACAGAUCAGGAAAAUAGCCCCAUACUAAAUGGUGCCUGGACAAGGCCCAUACACACUUGGAUAUGCUGUCCUGAACACAAGGCACAAGACACAACACGGGAGGACCUUUCAUCUCAUGUCUCUUACAGCCAGGGACUGAAGGUGUAGGACAGUAGGAGAAAAUAGAGGUUCACAUACAACACCCCAAGGACAUCAAAGAAGGGUAGCUGCCAAGAGCUCAUGUGAGUGCUAUUCCUCACGGUGAAUUCUCCAAAGACCAUGAAUGGCAGAGAUCUUUGAACUCCCUUCUAGCCUGUCUCGAUGUGAUAGCCUGGACAUGGGCAGCUAUCACGCCACCCUUCAGAACCGCAGCACUUCAAUGACCACAUCCUGCCAUCAUCACCCCCAUGGAGGUCCAGCGCCCCUGCCCCACUGCCUACCUCUCCACCUGUGCCCACCUCUCCACCUACCCGCCCCUUGUCACACUGACAGAUAAAAUACAGGACUCCCAGUUAAAUGCAA